GAUGAACGCUGGCGGCGUGCCUAAUACAUGCAAGUCGAGCGAACGGACGAGAAGCUUGCUUUUCUGAUGUUAGCGGCGGACGGGUGAGUAACACGUGGAUAACCUACCUAUAAGACUGGGAUAACUUCGGGAAACCGGAGCUAAUACCGGAUAAUAUUUUGAACCGCAUGGUUCAAAAGUGAAAGACGGUCUUGCUAUCACUUAUAGAUGGAUCCGCGCUGCAUUAGCUAGUUGGUAAGGUAACGGCUUACCAAGGCAACGAUGCAUAGCCGACCUGAGAGGGUGAUCGGCCACACUGGAACUGAGACACGGUCCAGACUCCUACGGGAGGCAGCAGUAGGGAAUCUUCCGCAAUGGGCGAAAGCCUGACGGAGCAACGCCGCGUGAGUGAUGAAGGUCUUCGGAUCGUAAAACUCUGUUAUUAGGGAAGAACAUAUGUGUAAGUAACUGUGCACAUCUUGACGGUACCUAAUCAGAAAGCCACGGCUAACUACGUG
rnacentral:rRNA from 1 species